rnacentral:rRNA from 1 species
AUUGAACGCUGGCGGCAGGCCUAACACAUGCAAGUCGAACGAGUGGCGGACGGGUGAGUAAUGGCUGGGAAACUGACCGAUGGAGGGGGAUAACUACUGGAAACGGUAGCUAAAACCGCAUACCAUCGGAUGUGCCCAGAUGGGAUUAGCUAGUAGGUGGGGUAACGGCUCACCUAGGCGACGAUCCCUAGCUGGUCUUAGAGGAUGACCAGACACACUGGCACUGAUACACGGUCCAUACUCAUACGUGAGGCAGAGGUGGGGAAUAUUGCACGAUGGGCGCAAGCCUGAUGCAGCCAUGCCGCGUGUAUGAAGAAGGCCUUCGGGUUGUAAAGUACUUUCAGCGAGUAGGCGUUACUCGCAGAAGAAGCACCGGCUAACUCCGUGCCAGCAGCCGCGGUAAUAC